GUUAAGGGUUCGUAAGAAAAAAAUGAUGAGUGUCACAUAGAUCAGAGACCCUGAGGAGACGUUUCCCUUUUUUGGUCUGAGACCUGAUAUAGGAGCAUUUCUUUAUUAGGGCCAAAUGAACUCUCCGACUCCAACAAGUAUGAUAGCAUGUAAAAUCUUCACCAAUGUGCUCAUGAAUUUUUUAAGAAAUAUUCUUUGAUCUUUUGCCAGAGAACUUUAAAAUGGAUUGACCCCGAGAUGAAUAAAGAUGACAUAUCCAAAGGCAAACUGCUCUCCAGAGGAAUUUAACUUAUUGGACCCUGCUUGCUGUCUUCAACUCAAGGGGAGGCACUCUUCAGGUACCUCCCUCGGCACCUUCAAUUGAAGAUAUUGGGCUGGGGCCAGAAUGAGUUCUUGGCAUAUCUCCCAUAUGACACUAUCGUGUCCAUGCCUGGACUACUCCCUAUUAACAUGAGGAUGCUUGAUCCUGGGACCAACUCCAGAAAUCUACUACAGACCCCAGAGAUCCAUGAGGCAUAGUUUAAAUAAAUCUGUGUUCCUGAACUACAGGCACGUGAAUUGGAGAAUAAGAAAGUAAGACUUAAUAAAUAAGAUUUAAUUAGCUAUGAAAAAAAACAAUUUAUGCUAGAAAACUGAAGAGGUGUGAAUUAAAGAUACAUGGAUAAAUAUAUAUUAAAUAUAAAUACAAUUUUAUAAUGCAAAAUUAUGAGAAAAAUGAAAAUAUUGAAUUGCUCUCUUCCUGGCUUCAUGCUCUGCACUUGUGAGCUGCCCCUGCUCCCAGAGGAGGUCCGACCUUCAAGGCUUUCUUAUCACAUUGCUGGGUAUUAAAUAAAUUCUUUGGCAUAAAGGAGGGGAAGAGAAGUACCACCACCACUAUGUAUUAGUCCAGAUUUGUCUAGAACACCAGUUUUCCUUGGAGAGGAGAUGGCACAUGAGUUCAAAUGUACUUGCACACAGUGCUGCCACUUUGCAUGCCUUCAUCCAGGGCACUGCCAUGCACAACAAGCAAAACCUCCAAAACUGAAAUUCAGUUUCACGUAACAUUCAAUGCUUUCAUCAGGGUUACCUUUGAAAUACUCAAUGUUUCCAACGUUGGUCCCUUAGGAUAAAUAUAGCAGAAAAUGGGAAGCCAAGCUACAGCUCCAAAUAUAAGAUACCAUGUCAUUUUCCUAAAAGCCAUAAGAGGUAGUCCAAAUAUAAGACCCAGGAAUUCAUUAUCUACACUGUUUCAUUAUUCCUAAACAAUAACACCCUUGGUCUUUAAAAUCUACAUAAUGCCUUUGUUUUUAUAGACAAUGCUUGAGAUCCAAACUAAAGCUGGUCUA